AAUUCAGCAGGAAAUGGGAGCGCCGCGGUUUGGGGGAGGAGUCCGAGGCUAAUACGAAGUUUCGUGAGACCUUUGAACGGUUUUGGCGUCCGAGGUGAAGAGCGGAAGUGAAUAGAGGGUUUCUGGAGACGAGCUAAACUCAAGGUGACAAGGGAAAGAGGACGUGGGGCAGUGGGGCCGGUUCACAGGUCUCUGCAUUAAGAGUAUGGAGGAACUACAUGACAAACUACAUCCAAAAUAUUUCAUCUAUAUCUGGACAAGAUUUACGUGAUGAGAUCAGGGACUUUAAGCUUGGUGCUCUGAUUGGAUGAAAUUUUGGAGUCUGAAAGAGAAGCAGAGUCUCUUCCCCUGCUCCUGAUCUUGAAUGGCCCUGUGACUUGCUUUGAUCAAUAAAAUGUGCAGAAGUGAAGGUGUGUAACUACUGAGGCCUGGCAGAAUUCCAGAAUGUGAUGUCAUGAAGCUUCCACCUUUAAUCUUUUGGAACAUCCUUCUGAGACUUCUCAGGAUGAAAGAAAACAUGAAGGAAAAGGCUAAACCAUCAGCCAGCCCCAACCAACAUACUUGGGAUGAAGCCAUCUUGGGACUCCUAGC